rnacentral:rRNA from 1 species
UUGGAGGGCAAGUCUGGUGCCAGCAGCCGCGGUAAUUCCAGCUCCAAUAGCGUAUAUUAAAGUUGUUGCAGUUAAAAAGCUCGUAGUUGAAUUUCGGGAUCAGCAGGUUGGUCGUGCCUCUGGUACGCACUGGUUUCGCUGAUUCCUCCUUUCUGAAGAACUGUAAUGUCAUUAAUUUGGUGUUGCAGGGAAACAGGACUGUUACUUUGAAAAAAUUAGAGUGUUUAAAGCAAGCUAACGCUUGAAUACAUUAGCAUGGAAUAAUGAAAUAGGACGUUUGAUCCUAUUUUGUUGGUUUCUAGGAUUGACGUAAUGAUUAAUAGGGAUAGUUGGGGGCAUUAGUAUUCAAUUGUCAGAGGUGAAAUUCUUGGAUUUAUUGAAGACUAACUACUGCGAAAGCAUUUGCCAAGGAUGUUUUCAUUAAUCAAGAACGAAAGUUAGGGGAUCGAAGACGAUCAGAUACCGUCGUAGUCUUAACCAUAAACUAUGCCGACUAGGGAUCGGAUGAUGUUAAUUUUUUAAUGACUCAUUCGGCGCCUUACGGGAAAC